GGCUGUUUGGCUCUCUGAGCAAUCUUAUUGCCUUGGGUGAGGCUGAAAGCCUGGGCGGAUUCCCUGCUGGAGAGGACUGGAUUCCAGGGAGCAGUGGCUGGACCUCGGAGAAUGCCGGUAAAGACUGCUCGCUCUGGACCCGGCCAUCUGGGGGUGGGGCUGUUACAGGGGCAGCUCUCCCCACCCCCACCCAAUGGUGAAGGUUAGAUAUCCAAAGUGCCUCAUCAGUGCCAAGAUAAACAAGUGGAGUGAAAUGGAAACCCCUGUAAUUCUUUUAUUUUUUUCCCAGGGCCUGGGAUUUGGGAUUUUUGCUUCCACCCCCAAAUCCUUUCUUCUACAAAUGGGGGUGGGAAACUUUCCCCCCGAGAGAUUCUGGAAUCUCCCUGCAUCUGAGGCCAAAAUUUCACUCCAACGCAAGCUUCUUCUCUGCUAUUCUGUGGCCAAGCAUCUACCAGCCCCAUGACUCAAGGUUUGUCCUCUGUUCACUCAAAGAGGUGGAGCAAAAACGUUCCUCCUAAGGUCCUCUCUGCCUGAGUCUACGCCCUGCCAUCGCCUCGAUUUUCAGGACCUUGGGGCCAGAAGGACCCAGAACCAUCCCUUUGCCCCAGUUCUGUCUCCCUGACUGCUGCCCACUCCUGAGCCUUGAACACCCCUGGGGUACCCCAGACCCCUGUUCCAAAGGGGCCUGGGAGUGAUGGGUGGAGGCGGGGGAGGGGUUGGUGG
rnacentral:lncRNA from 1 species